GGGCCUGUGGCGAAAUCGGUAUACGCAGCGGACUUAAAAUCCGCCGGGGUCAAACCCAUGCGGGUUCAAGUCCCGCCGGGCCCA
rnacentral:tRNA from 1 species